GGGUGAUUAGCUCAGCUGGGAGAGCAUCUCCCUUACAAGGAGGGGGUCGGCGGUUCGAUCCCGUCAUCACCCACCA
rnacentral:tRNA from 89 species